rnacentral:rRNA from 1 species
AGGAUGAACGCUGGCGGCGUGCCUAAAACAUGCAAGUCGAACGGUUCUAGCAAUAGGACAGUGGCGAACGGCGGAGUAAUACGUGAACAACGUGCCCUAAAGACUGGGAUAGUCACUGGAAACGGUGGGUAAUACCGGAUGUGGCACUUUUCCCUCCUGGGAGAGGUGUUAAAUGGUUUUUCGCUUUAGGAGCGGUUCACGGCCUAUCAGGUAGUUGGUGGGGUAAUGGCCUACCAAGCCGACGACGGGUAGCGGGUCUGAGAGGAUGGUCCGCUCGAGUGGGACUGAGACACGGCCCACACACCUACGGGUGGCAGCAGUUGGGAAUCUUGCACAAUGGGGGCAACCCUGAUGCAGCGACGCCGCGUGGAGGACGAAGGGUCUAGGCCUGUAAACUCCUUUUCUCGGGAAAGACUUAGGACGGUACCGAGGAAUAAGCCCCGGCUAACUACGCGCCAGCAGCCGC